rnacentral:rRNA from 1 species
UACGAAGGGGGCUAGCGUUGCUCGGAAUCACUGGGCGUAAAGCGCACGUAGGCGGAUUCUUAAGUCGGUGGUGAAAGCCUGGAGCUCAACUCCAGAACUGCCUUCGAUACUGAGAGUCUCGAGUUCGGGAGAGGUGAGUGGAACUGCGAGUGUAGAGGUGAAAUUCGUAGAUAUUCGCAAGAACACCAGUGGCGAAGGCGGCUCACUGGCCCGAUACUGACGCUGAGGUGCGAAAGCGUGGGGAGCAAACAGG